rfam:Salmo salar isolate Sally breed double haploid chromosome ssa28, whole genome shotgun sequence.
AAUGCACCAAUUUGUAAGUCGCUCUGGAUAAGAGCGUCUGCUAAAUGACCUAAA